rnacentral:rRNA from 1 species
GCGCAGCAGUCGCGAAACCUUCGCAAUGCAGGAAACUGCGACGAGGGAACUCCAAGUGCCUACGCUCAGCGUAGGCUGUUCUCAAGCCUAGAAAGCUUGAGGAGUAAGGGCUGGGUAAGACGGGUGCCAUCUGUGGUAGCAGUCAAUAGAUUCGAUUUGUUACUGCAAGGCAUAAGCCGCCGCGGUAAUACCCGCAGCCCAAGUGGUGGCCGCUUUUAUGGGCCUAAAGCGUCCGUAGCCGGCCCGGUAAAUGCCUGGGGUAAAUCGUGGAGCCCAACUUCACGAAUUCCGGGUAGACUGCCGAGCUCGGGACCGGAAGAGGAAGAGGGUACUUCAGGGGUAGGGGUGAAAAUUUCCUUUCCAUUAACGCUUUUGCGCGAAGCGGAAAGGGUUAUCACAAU